CCUACGGGUGGCAGCAGUGGGGAAUAUUGGACAAUGGGGGCAACCCUGAUCCAGCCAUGCCGCGUGUGUGAAGAAGGCCCUCGGGUUGUAAAGCACUUUCAGUGAGGAAGAACGCCUGGUGGUUAAUACCCAUCAGGAAAGACAUCACUCACAGAAGAAGCACCGGCUAACUCCGUGCCAGCAGCCGCGGUAAUACGGAGGGUGCGAGCGUUAAUCGGAAUUACUGGGCGUAAAGCGCGCGUAGGUGGCUUGAUAAGCCGGUUGUGAAAGCCCCGGGCUCAACCUGGGAACGGCAUCCGGAACUGUCAAGCUAGAGUGCAGGAGAGGAAGGUAGAAUUCCCGGUGUAGCGGUGAAAUGCGUAGAGAUCGGGAGGAAUACCAGUGGCGAAGGCGGCCUUCUGGACUGACACUGACACUGAGGUGCGAAAGCGUGGGUAGCAAACAGGAUUAGAUACCUUAGUAGUC
rnacentral:rRNA from 1 species